GCGGGCUUAAGGCAGGGUACCCUAUGACGCGGGCAUUGGAGGCGCUGUUCGAUCUUAUGGGAGAGUACGUUACGGUACUGGAGGCCCGGGCGCCGUUGGUCAUUUUGAUAUGUAUACAGAUGAGCAAGAACAGUGCAGCGAUAGGUUAUGGAUAAAGUGGAGCACUGCAGCCAAAGACUUGGAAGUUUGAACAAGUCAAUAUUCGCCGGUUCAUGAUUUUUCCAAUCAAUUAAUCAAGCCCACCAAGAAGACUAUGUUGUCCACGAUGUUGAUACUCUUUCCGUCCUUUAAAAAUAUAAACAAUUUUUAUUUUAGUCCAUCUUUAACAUACAAUUAUAAUGCUAGUUUAUCUUUAUUUUGGCAAA